AGGAAAGAUCGACUUGAUGUCAAUCUAUAAAACAAUUUGAAGGCAUAAGUUUGAUAAAACAAUAUAAGUAUAAGGAACAUUUGUUUGAAACACAGUUGUAAAUGAGUUUGAAAUAUGAUAAACAGAGUAAGAGGUACAGUGUAAUAAGGAGUUUAAAACAUAUAAAAUGUUUAUAAAAAUCAUUUGAAGGAAACUGUUUGGUAAAACGGCUAAUGAGUAGCCAAAUCUUUUGAAUGUUGUAUAUUAAUCACAUGUGAUUGAUGUAAUAAGUAAUAUACUCCUACUUACUAAUCACAUGCGAUUGACAUAAUAAGUAGCAUGAUUCUACUUGUAUCCCCCCCAUAAAGCAUUUAAAAGUAGUUUAAAACAUUAUUUAAGGGGUAUGAACUCACUUGAAAGCUUGAAGAUAGCGAGAUGGAAAACCGGGCAGAGUUUCGUCUCGGGAAACGGAUUUUUCUCGGGAUUCUCGGGAAUCUCGGGAGUAAAAUCGACCCUCGGGACUUGAGC
rnacentral:lncRNA from 1 species